GGUGGCCGGUGUGCGCGGUGUCAGUCUGCGUUCAGUGCUGCAGUCUGUCUGUGUCUUACAGUCAUGACCACAGUGCUCACGCCACACCUGCAGCCACAGAGACACUGGAGAUCAUAGUACUGGUCUAGUGACGUCUCCCAGACUCUCCACCACUGGCCAGCCUCCAUACUCUCCUACAAGC